UGGGGAAUCUUGCGCAAUGCGCGAAAGCGUGACGCAGCAACGCCGCGUGGGGGAAGACGGCCUUCGGGUUGUAAACCCCUUUCAGGAGGGACGAAGGUUCACCGGUGAAUAGCCGUGUGGAUUGACGGUACCUCCACAAGAAGGUCCGGCUAACUACGUGCCAGCAGCCGCGGUAAUACGUAGGGACCAAGCGUUGUCCGGAAUCAUUGGGCGUAAAGCGCGCGUAGGUGGCCAUUUAAGUCCGCUGUGAAAGUCAAAGGCUCAACCUUUGAAAGCCGGUGGAUACUGGGUGGCUAGAGUACGGAAGAGGCGAGUGGAAUUCCUGGUGUAGCGGUGGAAUGCGCAGAUAUCAGGAGGAACACCAAUAGCGAAGGCAGCUCGCUGGGACGUUACUGACACUGAGGCGCGAAAGCGUGGGGAGCGAACAGG
rnacentral:rRNA from 2 species